AAAAACAAAAACUCAUGUUGAUGCCCCCAAAGUUACGCCGAUGUCCUUUGAUAUCGUCCUCAUUUCACACAAGGCACCUGCUUCAUUAGAAUGAUAUUACCAGAAAUUAUUUCAUUCAGUUUAAUUGGGAAAUGAGAAAAUGGCUUAGAGAAACAAUGAGUGGAAGAAAACUGGGCCAAAGCACUCGAUGGAUGAUGGACAGCUUGUAUCUCUCUGGGUCAUUGGGCAGGUGCAGCAAACUUACUGUUACAGCAUCUAAGAGAUUAAUUUAUUAUAUCAUUGGUAUCUUUCAGCAGGUUUUCAGGCACUGCACUCAGCCCACAUGCUCAAAACAUUCAAAUUUGCACUAAAUAGUACAUCAAACACAUUUUCCCAAUGCACGUCCAUUCUAAGUUCAUGUAUGCAUUUAUAACUGAUGUCACCAGUUUGAUUAUAGCUUUAAAUUGGUCUCAUGGUAUACACAGCAGUAAAAACAAAUAGUUAUUUCAGUAAUUUGAUUAAACAUGUGAAAGAUCACAGUCCCAUAUUUCCCACAGUAAGUAAAUGUAUUUUAAAGCACCUUUUAAAAGACAAACUGUGACGUGCUUUAUAUCAGAUAAAACCAACAAAAUAAAAUGAAUGAAUGAACUAAACUUAUGAAUAAAAUAAAGUUCACUAUCAGUAACAUCAUAGCACCCACCCAGCUGAAUAGAAACUCUGUCAUGCUAGCUAGUACACAGUAUGAGUUAUUGUAACUAACUGUAAAAAGUUGGCACAAUGAAAAUAAACUACACCUAAACUUAGACUGCAGGUUAUAACUUCUCACCUGAAGUUCAGUUCACCUGACACUCGGACCGGCGGCUGCCUCGGGUCUCUCCUCCUCCUGCCUCCCCUUUCCCUCAUCUACCCGCUGGCAUCUGUGGAAGCUCCACCAUAGCCACCACCAAACAACGGAGUUAUUUUUACACAUCUGCCAGCAUCUGGCCAAUCCACCACCUUUCACUGUUUAUACCCCCGCCCCCCAAAAAAAACAAAACCCCAAAACAAGCAAACAACAAAAAAAAGACCAUUGGCCAUUAAAAAUGAAAAAUCGCCAGUCCAGCCAUGCUGCUUUGUGAACGAGUCCACUAAGAUUACAGGUCACAGAUUGAUCUCCACAACUGUAAAGGUUUUGUCUCCAUUAGAUGUAGGGAUUGAUAACAAACCGCGUGCCAUUAGAGCCCUCUUGCUCGCUGAUGCUCACCAUUCAGAGUGCUAGAGGUCAAAACCAGACCUGUGAAUUGAAUUC
ensembl:lncRNA